GGCCGCGAAUUCGCCCUUAGAGUUUGAUCCUGGCUCAGAUUGAACGCUGGCGGCAGGCCUAACACAUGCAAGUCGAGCGGUAACAGGAGAAAGCUUGCUUUCUUGCUGACGAGCGGCGGACGGGUGAGUAAUGUAUGGGGAUCUGCCCGAUAGAGGGGGAUAACUACUGGAAACGGUGGCUAAUACCGCAUAAUGUCUACGGACCAAAGCAGGGGCUCUUCGGACCUUGCACUAUCGGAUGAACCCAUAUGGGAUUAGCUAGUAGGUGGGGUAAAGGCUCACCUAGGCGACGAUCUCUAGCUGGUCUGAGAGGAUGAUCAGCCACACUGGGACUGAGACACGGCCCAGACUCCUACGGGAGGCAGCAGUGGGGAAUAUUGCACAAUGGGCGCAAGCCUGAUGCAGCCAUGCCGCGUGUAUGAAGAANGCCUUANGGUUGUAAAGUACUUUCANCGGGGAGGAA
rnacentral:rRNA from 1 species